rnacentral:rRNA from 1 species
GAUGAACGCUGGCGGCGUGCCUAAUACAUGCAAGUCGAGCGAACAGACGAUGAGCUUGCUCCUCUGACGUUAGCGGCGGACGGGUGAGUAACACGUGGAUAACCUACCUAUAAGACUGGGAUAACUUCGGGAAACCGGAGCUAAUACCGGAUAAUAUAUUGAACCGCAUGGUUCAAUAGUGAAAGACGGUUUUGCUGUCACUUAUAGAUGGAUCCGCGCCGCAUUAGCUAGUUGGUAAGGUAACGGCUUACCAAGGCGACGAUGCGUAGCCGACCUGAGAGGGUGAUCGGCCACACUGGAACUGAGACACGGUCCAGACUCCUACGGGAGGCAGCAGUAGGGAAUAUUCCGCAAUGGGCGAAAGCCUGACGGAGCAACGCCGCGUGAGUGAUGAAGGUCUUCGGAUCGUAAAACUCUGUUAUUAGGGAAGAACAAAUGUGUAAGUAACUAUGCACGUCUUGACGGUACCUAAUCAGAAAGCAACGGCUAACUACGUG